UCCCAGACUCCUACGGGAGGCAGCAGUGGGGAAUAUUGCACAAUGGGGGGAACCCUGAUGCAGCGACGCCGCGUGGGUGAAGGAGUACUUCGGUACGUAAAGCCCUAUCAGCAGGAAAGAAAAUGACGGUACCUGACUAAGAAGCCCCGGCUAACUACGUGCCAGCAGCCGCGGUAAUACGUAGGGGGCAAGCGUUAUCCGGAUUUACUGGGUGUAAAGGGAGCGUAGACGGCAGUGCAAGUCCGGAGUGAAAGCCCGGGGCUCAACCCUGGGACUGCUCUGGAAACUGUAAAGCUGGAGUACGGGAGGGGCAGGCGGAAUUCCUGGUGUAGCGGUGAAAUGCGUAGAUAUCAGGAGGAACACCAGUGGCGAAGGCGGCUUGCUGGACGAUGACUGACGUUGAGGCUCGAAAGCGUGGGGAGCAAACAGGAUUAGAUACCCGAGUA
rnacentral:rRNA from 1 species